CCUACGGGCGGCAGCAGUCGAGAAUCAUUCACAAUGGGGGAAACCCUGAUGGUGCGACGCCGCGUGGGGGAAUGAAGGUCUUCGGAUUGUAAACCCCUGUCAUGUGGGAGCAAAUUAAAAAGAUAGUACCACAAGAGGAAGAGACGGCUAACUCUGUGCCAGCAGCCGCGGUAAUACAGAGGUCUCAAGCGUUGUUCGGAAUCACUGGGCGUAAAGCGUGCGUAGGCUGUCUCGUAAGUCGUGUGUGAAAGGCGCGGGCUCAACCCGCGGACGGCACAUGAUACUGCGAGACUAGAGUAAGGGAGGGGGAACCGGAAUUCUCGGUGUAGCAGUGAAAUGCGUAGAUAUCGAGAGGAACACUCGUGGCGAAGGCGGGUUCCUGGACAUUAACUGACGCUGAGGCACGAAGGCCAGGGGAGCGAAAGGGAUUAGAUACCCUUGUAGUC
rnacentral:rRNA from 1 species